ACCUAGGAUAGUUCAGUUGGAAGAGCAUGAGGCCCUUAAUCUCAGGGACAUGCGUUCCAGUUGCAUGUUGGGCA